rnacentral:lncRNA from 1 species
UGAAUAAAUGCAGAGGAAAAUGGAACUCUAAAAUAGAGACUCUUAAAAAUACAGAUAUAUUGUUUUUCCAUACCUAAUUGUUUCCCGGGAUUAUACUGCCUGUCUCUCCCAUGUGUUGCCCAAGACAUCUUCAGCCGCUUCCCCAGUGAGCUAGCACAGCAUUUCAUGUGCAUAUGUUCUCUGUGUCUUGGCUUGUUUCCUGAUGGAAACCACCAUUCUGAUAUCUAGGCUGCCUCACGCGUCUUCUGGACAGCUUUGACACUUCGCUCAAGAAUGAAGGACAGCGAUUUUCCGUGAGCUUCACGUCUGGACCUUCCCGCCAAGAUGUGGUUCCUGCUCUCUAGAACGCGGCCUUUCCUCAGAUACAGCACCAUGUAUUAGCACAGAUUUUGCCUUAGACUGUGGGACUUCUGUCUUCCAUGGAAACCCCAGCCAAUUAGCUGAAGCUAACGUGUACGCCUUCCACUGCCGAGAUAUUGUCAUUGAUCACUUCAGGUAAAGUUACAAACAGUUUAUACCACCUUUUCUAGUGGAAGAACUAACAUGGUAGUAAAACUUCCCACAUAGUAUGCCCAAAUAACAAGCUUGUUGUCUG